rnacentral:rRNA from 1 species
AACGCGAAGAACCUUACCUGGGCUCGAAAUGUAGUGGAUCGAGGUAGAAAUAUCUCUUUCUCGCAAGAGACUGCUAUAUAGGUGCUGCAUGGCUGUCGUCAGCUCGUGUCGUGAGAUGUUGGGUUAAGUCCCGCAACGAGCGCAACCCUUAUCUUUAGUUGCCAUCAGGUCAAGCUGGGCACUCUAACGAAACCGCCCCGGAUAACGGGGAGGAAGGUGGGGAUGACGUCAAGUCAUCAUGCCCCUUAUGUCCUGGGCUACACACGUGUUACAAUGGCUGGGACAAUGUGAUGCAAAACGGCGACGUCGAGCGAAUCACCAAACCCAGUCUCAGUUCGGAUCGUAGGCUGCAACUCGCCUGCGUGAAGUCGGAAUCGCUAGUAAACGCCAAUCAGCACGUGGCGUUGAAUACGUUCCCGGGCCUUGUACACACCGUGUCGA